rnacentral:rRNA from 2 species
CUUGAGUUUGAUUCCUGGCUCAGGACGAACGCUGGCGGCGUGCCUAAUACAUGCAAGUCGAACGAACUCUGGUAUUGAUUGGUGCUUGCAUCAUGAUUUACAUUUGAGUGAGUGGCGAACUGGUGAGUAACACGUGGGAAACCUGCCCAGAAGCGGGGGAUAACACCUGGAAACAGAUGCUAAUACCGCAUAACAACUUGGACCGCAUGGUCCGAGCUUGAAAGAUGGCUUCGGCUAUCACUUUUGGAUGGUCCCGCGGCGUAUUAGCUAGAUGGUGGGGUAACGGCUCACCAUGGCAAUGAUACGUAGCCGACCUGAGAGGGUAAUCGGCCACAUUGGGACUGAGACACGGCCCAAACUCCUACGGGAGGCAGCAGUAGGGAAUCUUCCACAAUGGACGAAAGUCUGAUGGAGCAACGCCGCGUGAGUGAAGAAGGGUUUCGGCUCGUAAAACUCUGUUGUUAAAGAAGAACAUAUCUGAGAGUAACUGUUCAGGUAUUGACGGUAUUUAACCAGAAAGCCACGGCUAACUACGUGCCAGCAGCCGCGGUAAUACGUAGGUGGCAAGCGUUGUCCGGAUUUAUUGGGCGUAAAGCGAGCGCAGGCGGUUUUUUAAGUCUGAUGUGAAAGCCUUCGGCUCAACCGAAGAAGUGCAUCGGAAACUGGGAAACUUGAGUGCAGAAGAGGACAGUGGAACUCCAUGUGUAGCGGUGAAAUGCGUAGAUAUAUGGAAGAACACCAGUGGCGAAGGCGGCUGUCUGGUCUGUAACUGACGCUGAGGCUCGAAAGUAUGGGUAGCAAACAGGAUUAGAUACCCUGGUAGUCCAUACCGUAAACGAUGAAUGCUAAGUGUUGGAGGGUUUCCGCCCUUCAGUGCUGCAGCUAACGC